UGAGGAAUAUUGGGCAAUGCCCGCAAGGGUGACCCAGCAACGCCGCGUGGAGGAUGAAUGUCGUAAGAUUGUAAACUCCUGUUAGAGGGGAAGAAUAGUACCGGUUGGACCGGUAUAUGACUGUACCCUCAGAGAAAGCCCCGGCUAACUACGUGCCAGCAGCCGCGGUAAUACGUAGGGGGCAAGCGUUGUCCGGAUUUACUGGGUGUAAAGGGCGCGCAGGCGGGAUAAAAAGUCAGUGGUGAAAUCCUACAGCUUAACUGUAGAACUGCCGUUGAUACUUCUAUUCUUGAGUUCGGGAGAGAGAGACGGAAUUCCAGGUGUAGUGGUGAAAUACGUAGAUAUCUGGAAGAACACCAGUUGCGAAGGCGGUCUCUUGGUCCGACACUGACGCUGAGGCGCGAAAGCGUGGGGAGCAAACA
rnacentral:rRNA from 1 species